CUCGCGUUGGCAGCGUCCUGGGCAUCCUUCUUGGGAUCGCCCUUGUAGACAUUGCCCAGCUGGGCCUUGAUCUUCUCCUUGGUGAUGUCGGGCUUCUCGUGCCAGGUGUUGUCGGAAGCAGGCGCGUCGAUCUGAGAAAGCUUAUCCUCAGUCGGCUUGACCUUGCCGGCCGUGUUGACGGCGGCGUCGCCGGCCAUGUCUCGCAGCAGAAUGACGG
rnacentral:misc_RNA from 1 species